GAUGAACGCUGGCGGCGUGCCUAACACAUGCAAGUCGAGCGAUCUUCUUCGGAAGAGAGCGGCGGACGGGUGAGUAACGCGUGGGUAACCUGCCUCAUACACAUGGAUAACAUACCGAAAGGUAUGCUAAUACAAGAUGAUAUAAGAGAUUCGCAUGGAUUUCUUAUCAAAGCUCCGGCGGUAUGAGAUGGACCCGCGUCUGAUUAGCUAGUUGGUAAGGUAACGGCUUACCAAGGCGACGAUCAGUAGCCGACCUGAGAGGGUGAUCGGCCGCAGUGGGACUGAGACACGGUCCAAACUGCUACGGGAGGCAGCAGUGGGGAAUAUUGCACAAUGGGCGAGAGCCUGAUGCAGCAACGCCGCGUGAGCGAUGAAGGCCUGCGGGUCGUAAAGCUCUGUCCUCAAGGAAGAUAAUGACGGUACUUGAGGAGGAAGCCCCGGCUAACUACGUGCCAGCCGCCGCAGUAACAC
rnacentral:rRNA from 1 species